GACAUCGUCAAUGAAUUGACAUUCUGUUGCUAUCUGGCCACUCAGCUAACGUCACUCUCACGUUGGUUGGUACGGCUGUGGAACGCUUCCCUUACAACGAGUUAUUGUGCAGCCGCUACAUUUUGCUGAUUCUGCGACGCCGAUGGCGUCAUGCCAGAGUUCCAUUCUCCCAUGGUUGUCAUUGAGAAGAAACACAAACACGGUGAUGUGGCCUCUUUGAUCUCCUCCAUUACACACGGCACAGGGAGGGCAGAGAAGGCGGGCAGCGGGGGUGUCUUAUGAGGGCGUGUCCCUGGGCCCGCACGCCCUCUCAAUGGUGUCUCCCACCAUGAAGGCCGUGGUGGAUGCCGUCUGGGUAGUGUGGAGCAUCGGCGCCUCCAUCUAUGACUACCUGCACACCAGCGCCAUGGAGGAGCGCAUACACGCCCUGGAGAGUGCCAUCACCAUCCACCAGUGCGUCAUCGGGGCGCUGUCCGCCAGCCUGGUCCUGCUGUUCACCUACAUCCUGCUGAGGAAACGCUGAAGGGGAAGAGGGCGUCGCACGAUGGGCGCCAGCGCCAGAAGGGCAUGGGGUCAAUGCUCACAGGCAUAACACUCCGACUUUUCCGCACCGGAGGGGCACUACCGACAGAUUGCUUUUUCACUUCGAACCCCUUCGCUGCCUUAACACAGGUCAUGCUGACAAAUGAUGAGAGAAGAGCAUAGGCAGCGUUGUGUAAGCACAGAGAAACAGGAAUCCAUGUUUGCGGCAGACCUCCACCAGCCGGCGCGGCCCCUCAUCUGUUGCGUUGUCUGUGGCGUUGUCCUUAAAAGGAAAAAACGAGAGCGCGCUUUGAUUGUGAGUACAAGUCCGGCGUCCCUCGCUGUGCCGUGGGAGCAAACGCGGUGAAGAGGAUGCAGCCCACGCAAUCGGAGUUUCAGUGCAGAAAUACAGGGCUCCUGAGGAAGUCAGUCUUCUCUCCGAAGCCGCGUCAUUCUGAUCAUUCGACGGCACGAGUGGAACGGUUUAUAGAUUUAUUGUUCCGGGAGCGGUCUUAGUGAUUUUUGUUUACCUUGCUGCGAUCAUGUUAGUGCGGUAUUGAGGGAAUCAUAUCCUGAGGUUAUGUAUUGUUUAAAAUAGGAAAAUGUCU